rnacentral:ncRNA from 1 species
GUCGGCUGUCCGACCGGGCAGUGCCGCGACGCUACCAUCUGCUGGAUAAUGGCUGAACGCCUCUAAGUCAGAAUCCAUGCCAGAACGCGACGAUACUCCCGCACGUACAGAUGGACACGAAUAGGCUUCGGCUUAGCGUCUUAGCAGGCGAUUACUCCGCUGCCCUUGAAGCGGGUAGCGGUAUUUCGCGAAUUGUAAUUUCAGCACGAGCGGGGUCAAAUCCUUUGCAGACGACUUAGAUGUGCGAAAGGGUCCUGUAAGCAGUAGAGUAGCCUUGUUGUUACGAUCUGCUGAGGGUAAGC